rnacentral:rRNA from 1 species
AACCGGAUUAGAUACCCUGGUAGUCCACGCCCUAAACGAUGCCAACUAGGGGUUGGGGAAGGAGACUUCCUUAGUACCGUAGCUAACGCGUGAAGUUGGCCGCCUGGGGAGUACGGUCGCAAGAUUAAAACUCAAAGGAAUUGACGGGGACCCGCACAAGCGGUGGAUGAUGUGGAUUAAUUCGAUGCAACGCGAAAAACCUUACCUACCCUUGACAUGCCAGGAACCCUGCUGAGAGGUGGGGGUGCUCGAAAGAGAGCCUGGACACAGGUGCUGCAUGGCUGUCGUCAGCUCGUGUCGUGAGAUGUUGGGUUAAGUCCCGCAACGAGCGCAACCCUUGUCAUUAGUUGCCAUCAUUUAGUUGGGCACUCUAAUGAGACUGCCGGUGACAAACCGGAGGAAGGUGGGGAUGACGUCAAGUCCUCAUGGCCCUUAUGGGUAGGGCUUCACACGUCAUACAAUGGUCGGUACAGAGGGUUGCCAAGCCGCGAGGUGGAGCCAAUCCCAGAAAGCCGAUCGUAGUCCGGAUCGGAGCCUGCAACUCGACUCCGUGAAGUCGGAAUCGCUAGUAAUCGUGGAUCAGCAUGCCACGGUGAAUACGUUCCCGGGUCUUGUACACACCGCCCGUCACACCAUGGGAGUGGGUUUCACCAGAAGUAGGUAGCCUAACCGCAAGGGGGGCGCUUACCACGGUGGGAUUCAUGACUGGGGUGAAGUCGUAACAAGGUAUC